rnacentral:rRNA from 1 species
UACGAAGGGGGCUAGCGUUGCUCGGAAUCACUGGGCGUAAAGCGCACGUAGGCGGCUUUUUUAAGUCAGGGGGUGAAAUCCUGGAGCUCAACUCCAGAACUGCCUUUGAUACUGAGAAGCUUGAGUCCGGGAGAGGUGAGUGGAACUGCGAGUGUAGAGGUGAAAUUCGUAGAUAUUCGCAAGAACACCAGUGGCGAAGGCGGCUCACUGGCCCGGUACUGACGCUGAGGUGCGAAAGCGUGGGGAGCAAACAGG